rnacentral:snoRNA from 1 species
AGAUUAUUCCAAAGAGGGCUCAUGGUGCUGUGAAACCAUGAGCUCUUAACACUAUGACGAAAGACUAAAGUUCUCUAUAGGAUGCCAUAGCACUCAAGGGUGCUGUUUUCCUAAGGAGAUAUAAGA